GAUGAACGCUGGCGGCGUGCCUAAUACAUGCAAGUCGAGCGAACGGACGAGAAGCUUGCUUUUCUGAUGUUAGCGGCGGACGGGUGAGUAACACGUGGAUAACCUACCUAUAAGACUGGGAUAACUUCGGGAAACCGGAGCUAAUACCGGAUAAUAUUUUGAACCGCAUGGUUCAAAAGUGAAAGACGGUCUUGCUGUCACUUAUAGAUGGAUCCGCGCUGCACUAGCUAGUUGGUAAGGUAACGGCUUACCAAGGCAACGAUGCAUAGCCGACCUGAGAGGGUGAUCGGCCACACUGGAACUGAGACACGGUCCAGACUCCUACGGGAGGCAGCAGUAGGGAAUCUUCCGCAAUGGGCGAAAGCCUGACGGAGCAACGCCGCGUGAGUGAUGAAGGUCUUCGGAUCGUAAAACUCUGUUAUUAGGGAAGAACAUAUGUGUAAGUAACUGUGCACAUCUUGACGGUACCUAAUCAGAAAGCCACGGCUAACUACGUGCCAGCAGCCGCGGUAAUACGUAGGUGGCAAGCGUUAUCCGGAAUUAUUGGGCGUAAAGCGCGCGUAGGCGGUUUUUUAAGUCUGAUGUGAAAGCCCACGGCUCAACCGUGGAGGGUCAUUGGGAACUGGAAAACUUGAGUGCAGAAGAGGAAAGUGGAAUUCCAUGUGUAGCGGUGAAAUGCGCAGAGAUAUGGAGGAACACCAGUGGCGAAGGCGACUUUCUGGUCUGUAACUGACGCUGAUGUGCGAAAGCGUGGGGAUCAAACAGGAUUAGAUACCCUGGUAGUCCACGCCGUAAACGAUGAGUGCUAAGUGUUAGGGGGUUUCCGCCCCUUAGUGCUGCAGCUAACGCAUUAAGCACUCCGCCUGGGGAGUACGACCGCAAGGUUGAAACUCAAAGGAAUUGACGGGGACCCGCACAAGUGGUGGAGCAUGUGGUUUAAUUCGAAGCAACGCGAAGAACCUUACCAAAUCUUGACAUCCUUUGACAACUCUAGAGAUAGAGCCUUCCCCUUCGGGGGACAAAGUGACAGGUGGUGCAUGGUUGUCGUCAGCUCGUGUCGUGAGAUGUUGGGUUAAGUCCCGCAACGAGCGCAACCCUUAAGCUUAGUUGUCAUCAUUAAGUUGGGCACUCUAAGUUGACUGCCGGUGACAAACCGGAGGAAGGUGGGGAUGACGUCAAAUCAUCAUGCCCCUUAUGAUUUGGGCUACACACGUGCUACAAUGGACAAUACAAAGGGCAGCGAAACCGCGAGGUCAAGCAAAUCCCAUAAAGUUGUUCUCAGUUCGGAUUGUAGUCUGCAACUCGACUACAUGAAGCUGGAAUCGCUAGUAAUCGUAGAUCAGCAUGCUACGGUGAAUACGUUCCCGGGUCU
rnacentral:rRNA from 1 species